rnacentral:rRNA from 1 species
AUUGAACGCUGGCGACAUGCCUUACACAUGCAAGUCGAACGGCAGCACGGGUGCUUGCACCUGGUGGCGAGUGGCGAACGGGUGAGUAAUGCAUCGGAACAUGUCCUGUAGUGGGGGAUAGCCCGGCGAAAGCCGGAUUAAUACCGCAUACGAUCUACGGAUGAAAGCGGGGGACCUUCGGGCCUCGCGCUAUAGGGUUGGCCGAUGGCUGAUUAGCUAGUUGGUGGGGUAAAGGCCUACCAAGGCGACGAUCAGUAGCUGGUCUGAGAGGACGACCAGUCACACUGGGACUGAGACACGGCCCAGACUCCUACGGGAGGCAGCAGUGGGGAAUUUUGGACAAUGGGCGAAAGCCUGAUCCAGCAAUGCCGCGUGUGUGAAGAAGGCCUUCGGGUUGUAAAGCACUUUUGUCCGGAAAGAAAUCCUUGGCCCUAAUACGGUCGGGGGAUGACGGUACCGGAAGAAUAAGCACCGGCUAACUACGUG